ACUUGUCUCUGCACGAGUGAGUAUCCUGUAGUAAUGGCUAAUGAACAGGGAAAGGUUCAAACCGAAUCCCUUCGGGAAACCGAUUGCGAGUUGUGGUGUAAGGUUAGCUUCUGAAGCAUAAAUGUCCAACGAUGAGUUCGGUUGAAUACGGCAUAUUUCCAAAGAGGGUGACAGACCCAUAUUCGUUGUGCGUUUAUGCUUAAAAGUUGGCCUGAGAGUCGAAUUGUUUGAAAUUGCAAUUCAAACAUGUGUGGUAAACUCCAUACAAAACUUAAUAUGGCGACAACCCCGAUAGCGAAAAAGUACCGUGAGGGAAAGUUGAAAAGUCUCGAAAGAGAAAGACUUAAAUAGUACGUGAAACUGCACAUUGAAAAGCGAAUGAAUACGUAUUGGUUCAGGUUGUUGAUUACACGGGUGUGUGCCAAGGCAUAAUGCUUUUGUUCAUUCGUAUUGCAUUUGGCAAGCUGACAUUCUGCUUGGCUUUGUUCCGACUGCAGCUA
rnacentral:rRNA from 1 species